rnacentral:misc_RNA from 1 species
UUUCCGGAGGUGAACCUGCGGAAGGAUCAUUAUUGUAUAACCGAGGUGCGAGGGCUGUCGCUGACCCGAAAGGUCGUGCACGCCCGAGUGCCCUCACACACAUCCAUCUCACCCCUAUGUGCACCACCGCGUGGGUCCCCCUUUGGCUUGUUCGGAGGGGGGCUUACGUUUUCACACAAACUUUGUAUGCAGUGUAGAAUGUAUUUUUUGUUUUUGCGAUCACGCAAUCAAUACAACUUUCAACAACGGAUCUCUUGGCUCUC